UACGUAGGUGGCGAGCGUUAUCCGGAAUGAUUGGGCGUAAAGGGUGCGUAGGCUGUAAGGUAAGUCAGCGGUGAAAUGCCCCCGCUCAACGGGGUGAAGUGCCAUUGAUACUGCCUUGCUGGAAUGCGGAUGCCGUGGGAGGAAUGUGUGGUGUAGCGGUGAAAUGCAUAGAUAUCACACAGAACACCGAUUGCGAAGGCAGCCUUCCGGCGCCCUACUGACGCUGAGGCACGAAAGUGCGGGGAUCGAACAGG
rnacentral:rRNA from 1 species